AACGACGCUGGCGGCAGGCCUAACACAUGCAAGUCGAACGCUCCGCAAGGAGAGUGGCAGACGGGUGAGUAACACGUGGGAAUCUACCUAGUGGUACGGAAUAGCUCAGGGAAACUUGAGGUAAUACCGUAUAAGCCCUUACGGGGAAAGAUUUAUCGCCAUUAGAUGAGCCCGCGUCUGAUUAGCUAGUUGGUGAGGUAAUGGCUCACCAAGGCGACGAUCAGUAGCUGGUUUGAGAGAAUGACCAGCCACACUGGGACUGAGACACGGCCCAGACUCCUACGGGAGGCAGCAGUGGGGAAUCUUGGACAAUGGGCGAAAGCCUGAUCCAGCCAUGCCGCGUGCAGGAUGAAGGCCUUCGGGUUGUAAACUGCUUUUGUACGGAACGAAAAGGUCUUUUCUAAUAAAGAAGGCUCAUGACGGUACCGUAAGAAUAAGCACCGGCUAACUACGUG
rnacentral:rRNA from 1 species